rnacentral:lncRNA from 1 species
AAAUCGUUAAAAAUAAUUUUCAGUCAUCGAAGAGAUUACUGGAUUGAGUCGCGGGUCGAUACGCUUUCUUUAAGACGUUUCGCGGCACUGCCCAAAAUUGUGCAAGGCAGACGAUCAACCACGAAGUCCCCAGGAUAAAACAGCCCAGUUCUACUGAUACCGAUAAAUACUGCACUGUAGAUAUCGGGCAAGAAUUACACCCUCGAUUAUGAUACUUAAACCAUUGCGCUAUAGUUUUAAGUCCAUUCUAAUAUGGUACUAUGACCAUUCUAAUAUGGUACUAUGACCAUUCUUAUAUGGUAGCUAAGACCAUUCAAAUCAUAGGGAAUAUGGCAUUAUGACCAUUCUUUAAAUUUGAAGGAACCGUGAUACUAAGAUCACUCUUAAGACAUAAAAAUAAUAAUAAUAAUAAUACUAAUAUCAGUAUUAGUAUCACACAACACAUAGAAUAAACAUUUCGUCUAUGAGCAAUUAGGAA